AUCAGACCGUUACCAUGGUUACUCCAUGAACAUCAGUCUGAAAUAAGUUGCUGUAAAAAAGACGCAAUAGUCUCUAUAAGACAGAAUAUGUAGAGUGGCCCCUUCACAGGCCUGGGAUCUGGCGGUAGGAAGUGAAGAUAUAGGGUAACCACAGGAAAGUGUUGUUUACCCAACUUUUUACAGCGCCGGAAGAUACCAGGAAUAGGUUUGUGUUGGAUCCCUCACAAUACCACACUGAGACCACACAGACAUUUGGGAAGCAGAGCCACUGCUCCUCUCAAGUCAUUUCACCAUUGCUGUUGUCUACUGUGACCACCAGAGGGUGAUAUACACAUGAACCCACAGACUGAAUAGGAGACUGAAAUGUGGGAGUCAGCCAAAGCUCAUUCCUAGUCAGGGCGGAGCACUGAAAGACAGAGAGAGAGACUCAGGAGACUAGAGAGACAUCCGCUCUCUACAUCAUGACCUCUUCCCCCCCAACAGCAGCUCAGGACA